GCCGGGCGCAGUGGCACAUGCCUGUAGUCCCAGCUACUUGGGAGGCUGAGGUGGGAGGAUCGCUUGAGCCCAGGAGUUCCGGACUGUAGUGCACUAUACCCAUCGGGUAUCCACACAAAGUUCGGCAUCAGUAUGGUGAUCUCCCGGGAGCAGGGGACCACCAGGUUGCCUACGGAGGAGUGAACCAGCCCAGGUCAGAAACGGAGCAGGUCAAAACUCCCGUGCUGAUCAGUAGUGGGAUCGUGCCUGUGAAUAGCCACUGCACUCCAGCCUGGGCAACAUAGCGAGACCCCAUCUCUA
ensembl:misc_RNA Metazoa_SRP Metazoan signal recognition particle RNA